rnacentral:rRNA from 1 species
GACGAACGCUGGCGGCGUGCCUAAUACAUGCAAGUAGAACGCACAGUUUAUACCGUAGCUUGCUACACCAUAGACUGUGAGUUGCGAACGGGUGAGUAACGCGUAGGUAACCUGCCUGGUAGCGGGGGAUAACUAUUGGAAACGAUAGCUAAUACCGCAUAAUAUUAAUUAUUGCAUGAUAAUUAAUUGAAAGGUGCAAUUGCACCACUACCAGAUGGACCUGCGUUGUAUUAGUUAGUAGGUGAGGUAACGGCUCACCUAGGCGUGGAUACAUAGCCGACCUGAGAGGCUGCGCGGCCACGCUGGGACUGGGACACGGCCCAGCCUCCUAGGGGAGGCAGCAGUAGGGAAUCUUCGGCAAUGGACGAAAGUCUGACCGAGCAACGCCGCGUGAGUGAAGAAGGUUUUCGGAUCGUAAAGCUCUGUUGUAAGAGAAGAACGGGUGUGAGAGUGGAAAGAUCACACUGUGACGGUAUCUUACCAGAAAGGGACGGCUAACUACGUG